UAUAGGGUCGAGGAGUGUAUCUGUAAAAAAAUCAUCAAAAUCGGAGCUAAAAUAACAGUUAAAUUGUGAUUUUUCGUUUAUAACCGUCGAUAACUUUUGUUCCGUUACGUAAUAUUUGAAUGUUUGUUUUUUUACAAUUUUUUACGUAUGUAAUCUUGGAAUGUGUACAAAUAAGUUUGACGGUUGGAUCGUUGAAAAAAGCUUGUCAUUA
rnacentral:lncRNA from 1 species